rnacentral:misc_RNA from 1 species
CCGAGUUCGCGCCCCUCGGGGCCGAUCUCCCACCCCCUGUCUAUUCUACCCUGUUGCUUUGGCGGGCCGCCCUCGCGGCUACCGGCCUCGCCGGUACGUGCCCGCCAGAGGCCCUAAACCCCAGUUUGCUGUUCGUGGUCUUGUCUGAGUGGGAUGUGAAUUAGUUA